GUGUAUGGCCAUGCCACCCUAAACAAACUGGAUCCCAUCUGAUCUCGGGCCGGGUUAGUACUUGGAUGGGAGACCACCUAGGAAAACCAGGUGCUGUAGGCG
rnacentral:rRNA from 1 species